UGAUAGCGACUGAUGUUGAUUCCUACCUGUUGUCUCCUGGUUAUCAAAUCGUUAUUACAGCAACCUUGCAUGUAGAUGGACAAUAUCAACUAGUGACCCAGAAAGGAAGAUAGAGGUCGAGGUCAUCCAUGUAGAAAUAUCUGGCACACCUCCUACCUGUAAUGAAGACAGAAUUGAAGUGGAUUACCUUCAUUCAUCGUCACCAAAUGAAGUGAUUUGCGGUUCAAGCACCCCGACACAAACGUUUGUUAGCAUUGAUGGCACAGUGUUAAUCACAUUCACCUCAGACGGUGCCAAUGAAGGCAAAGGUUUUGACAUUCGGUAUCGUCAGGUACAAGUCGACAAACCUUCUGGCUCGUGUGAUAAAACAUUGAGUGCAACUGAAACGGAGCAAGUUCUCACAUCUCAAGGGUAUCCGCGUAUUUCUCUCAUAUCACAGACCUGUUCCUUCACUAUAAGAGGACCGAUUGGUUACCACAUCAGAGUGACUCUGAAUGACCUUGACAUUGAAUUGGCCCGAGAAUGCCGAUAUGACAGCUUGAUGAUAAA